UGGAGGAACACCGAUGGCGAAGGCAGCCCCCUGGGCCUGUACUGACGCUCAUGCACGAAAGCGUGGGGAGCAAACAGGAUUAGAUACCCUGGUAGUCCACGCCCUAAACGAUGUCGACUAGUUGUUCGGAGAGGUAACUCACUGAGUAACGCAGCUAACGCGUGAAGUCGACCGCCUGGGGAGUACGGCCGCAAGGUUAAAACUCAAAGGAAUUGACGGGGACCCGCACAAGCGGUGGAUGAUGUGGAUUAAUUCGAUGCAACGCGAAAAACCUUACCUACCCUUGACAUGCCAGGAAUCUUGGUGAGAGCCGAGAGUGCCUUCGGGAGCCUGGACACAGGUGCUGCAUGGCUGUCGUCAGCUCGUGUCGUGGGAUGUUGGGUUAAGUCCCGCAACGAGCGCAACCCUUGUCAUUAAUUGCCAUCAUUUAGUUGGGCACUUUAAUGAGACUGCCGGUGACAAACCGGAGGAAGGUGGGGAUGACGUCAAGUCCUCAUGGCCCUUAUGGGUAGGGCUUCACACGUCAUACAAUGGUCGGUACAGAGGGUUGCCAAACCGCGAGGUGGAGCUAAUCCCUUAAAGCCGAUCGUAGUCCGGAUUGCAGUCUGCAACUCGACUGCAUGAAGUCGGAAUCGCUAGUAAUCGCAGAUCAGCAUGUUGCGGUGAAUACGUUCCCGGGUCUUGUACACACCGCCCGUCACACCAUGGGAGUGGGUUUCACCAGAAGUAGGUAGCUUAACCUUCGGGAGGGCGCUUACCACGGUGAGAUUCAUGGCUGGGGUGAAGUCGUAACAAGGUAACCGUAAAUCGAAU
rnacentral:rRNA from 1 species